rnacentral:rRNA from 1 species
AUUGAACGCUGGCGGCAGGCCUAACACAUGCAAGUCGAGCGGAUGAGUGGAGCUUGCUCCAUGAUUCAGCGGCGGACGGGUGAGUAAUGCCUAGGAAUCUGCCUGGUAGUGGGGGACAACGUUUCGAAAGGAACGCUAAUACCACAUACGUCCUACGGGGAGAAAGCAGGGGACCUUCGGGCCUUGCGCUAUCAGAUGAGCCUAGGUCGGAUUAGCUAGUAGGUGAGGUAAUGGCUCACCUAGGCGACGAUCCGUAACUGGUCUGAGAGGAUGAUCAGUCACACUGGAACUGAGACACGGUCCAGACUCCUACGGGAGGCAGCAGUGGGGAAUAUUGGACAAUGGGCGAAAGCCUGAUCCAGCCAUGCCGCGUGUGUGAAGAAGGUCUUCGGAUUGUAAAGCACUUUAAGUUGGGAGGAAGGGCAGUAAGUUAAUACCUUGCUGUUUUGACGUUACCAACAGAAUAAGCACCGGCUAACUUCGUG